rnacentral:ncRNA from 1 species
GCACAAUCCUCUAUAUUCUAACAAGCAUGUGGUUAAAUUAGGUGCAAAGCAAAGAACCUUACCAUGGCUUGACAUGCCCUGAAUCCUCCCGAAAGAGAGGAGUGCCUUUGGGAAUGUGGACAUAGGUGAUGCAUGGCUUCCAUCAUCUCUACCGUAAGGUGUUAGGUUAAGUCCCACAAUGAGCGUAAGUCUCAUGUUUAGUUUCCAGCAUUGAGUUUCAAACCCUGAACAAACUAUUGGUGAUAAGCCAAAGGAAGGUGAGGAUGACGUCAAGUCAUCAUGCUACUUAUGCCCUAGGUGACACAAAUGCUACAAUGAUCGGGACAAAGGGUCACGACCUUGCGAGGGAAAGCUAACCUCAAAAACCCAACCUUAGUUCAAAUUGCAGGCUACAAUUUGUCUGCAUGAAGCUAGAAUUGCUAGUAAUCUCUCGUCAACCAUACGACAAUGAAUCCAUUCCCGGGUCUUGUA